UAUGCAUAACGCCACAGAGCA
rnacentral:misc_RNA from 1 species